rnacentral:rRNA from 1 species
GUGAGGAAUAUUGGUCAAUGGACGAGAGUCUGAACCAGCCAAGUCGCGUGAAGGAAGACGGUUCUAUGAAUUGUAAACUUCUUUUGUGCAGGAAUAAAGUGGGUUACGUGUAACCUUUUGUAUGUACUGUACGAAUAAGGAUCGGCUAACUCCGUGCCAGCAGCCGCGGUAAUACGGAGGAUCCGAGCGUUAUCCGGAUUUAUUGGGUUUAAAGGGUGCGUAGGUGGAUUGAUAAGUCAGCGGUGAAAGUUUGCAGCUUAACUGUAAAAUUGCCGUUGAAACUGUCGGUCUUGAGUGCAAAUGAGGUAGGCGGUAUGUGUUGUGUAGCGGUGAAAUGCUUAGAUAUAACACAGAACUCCGAUUGCGAAGGCAGCUUACUGGGAUGCAACUGACACUGAUGCACGAAAGCGUGGGUAUCAAACAGGAUUAGAAACCCUAGUAGUCC